ACACAGACCCUUCUCAGCCCACAUCACAGGUAACACACACAGACCCUUCUCAGCCCACAUCACAGGUAACGCACACAGACCCUUCUCAGCCCACAUCACAGGUAACGCACACAGACCCUUCUCAGCCCACAUCACAGGUAACGCACACAGACCCUUCUCAGCCCACAUCACAGGUAACACACACAGACCCUUCUCAGCCCACAUCACAGGUAACACACAGACCCUUCUCAGCCCACAUCACAGGUAACACACACACACAGACCCUUCUCAGCCCACAUCACAGGUAACACACACAGACCCUUCUCAGCCCACAUCACAGGUAACACACACACAGACCCUUCUCAGCCCACAUCACAGGUAACACACACAGACCCUUCUCAGCCCACAUCACAGGUAACACACACAGACCCUUCUCAGCCCACAUCACAGGUAACACACACAGACCCUUCUCAGCCCACAUCACAGGUAACACACACAGACCCUUCUCAGCCCACAUCACAGGUAACACACAGACCCUUCUCAGCCCACAUCACAGGUAACACACACACAGACCCUUCUCAGCCCACAUCACAGGUAACACACACACACAGACCCUUCUCAGCCCACAUCACAGGUAACACACACACACAGACCCUUCUCAGCCCACAUCACAGGUAACACACGCACACAGACCCUUCUCAGCCCACAUCACAGGUAACACACACACACAGACCCUUCUCAGCCCACAUCACAGGUAACACACGCACCCAGACCCUUCUCAGCCCACAUCACAGGUAACACACACACAGACCCUUCUCAGCCCACAUCACAGGUAACACACACACAGACCCUUCUCAGCCCACAUCACAGGUAACACACACACAGACCCUUCUCAGCCCACAUCACAGGUAACACACACACAGACCCUUCUCAGCCCACAUCACAGGUAACACACACACACAGACCCUUCUCAGCCCACAUCACAGGUAACACACACACACAGACCCUUCUCAGCCCACAUCACAGGUAACACACACACACACAGACCCUUCUCAGCCCACAUCACAGGUAACACACACACACAGACCCUUCUCAGCCCACAUCACAGGUAACACACACACACACAGACCCUUCUCAGCCCACAUCACAGGUAACACACACACAUCCCCUUCUCAUGUUCUGU